rnacentral:rRNA from 1 species
UUAGGAAUCUUGGGCAAUGGGGGCAACCCUGACCCAGCCAUGCCGCGUGUGUGAAGAAGGCCUUCGGGUUGUAAAGCACUUUCAAGGGUGAAGAAAGGCCUGAGGUGAAUACCCUCGGGUGUUGACGUUAGCUCUAGAAGAAGUACCGGCUAACUCCGUGCCAGCAGCCGCGGUAAUACGGAGGGUACGAACGUUAAUCGGAAUUACUGGGCGUAAAGCGCACGUAGGCGGUUCGUUAAGUGGGAUGUGAAAUCCCCGGGCUCAACCUGGGAACUGCAUUCCAGACUGGCGAACUCGAGUCUGGUAGAGGGGGGUGGAAUUUCCUGUGUAGCGGUGAAAUGCGUAGAUAUAGGAAGGAACAUCAGUGGCGAAGGCGGCCCCCUGGACUAAGACUGACGCU